CGUAAGUAUGACCGCUUAUACAAGCCGUCAUUGGCGGACUAUAAGGACGCGCGGAUGGCCUCUGAUUCAUGGAGGGAGAUCUCCGCAAACGGCGGUUUGCCGUUCGUGAGGUGUACAAAGUUGUGGAGGUGAAUUCUUUAGAUAAAAUCCCCAAACCAAAACCCAUUCAUUCUCUAUGGUUGUGCUAAACCACUACGGGUGUAAUAUAUCUUUGGCCACCGGUGGCGCUGCUGUGCGGACCGAGCGUUUGCCCGGAUGUAAAGCGUUUCUCCGGACAUUCUCCGUCAGUCUACCCGGGAAAGAGCACCGAAGCGACGGUGCACCUUCGUUGGACCUCGCGCUACGAGGAAGUCACUACACAGGAUUGCUGUGUUGCACUGAAGGUGGCAGAGUCGUCUGCAGGAGAACAUCUGAAAUGGGAUUCUUGGAGAACAACAGAUUGCCAAUGUCACGUCUGGCAACCAUCACAUUUUAAUGCAAACAUUAAUAUCAAGCUGGACUUGUUUCACUGCAUGAGGCGGUUCCUCCGUGAGUGUGUGUCGGUGGCAUCCCGCCCAGUACAGUUCCUUUGCUCAGUUCCUCUGGACUGGGACAAGCACAACAGCAAGACAGAUCACACCCAGGCCCCGAAUCCACCUCCUCAAAGUGAUCCACUCGCUACCCAGUCGGAGGUUCAAGAAACUCUACGUCCGCCGUCGCUGGCAGUUAUCGACCUGCUGCUCAACAAACACCGUGAGCAGAAGGACAUGCUGAAGCUUGUGGACCAGGACUACGCUGCUCUAGUUCACAACUCC